rnacentral:rRNA from 1 species
AGUGAACGCUGGCGGUAUGCCUAACACAUGCAAGUCGAACGGCAGCACAGUAAGAGCGUGCUCUUACGGGUGGCGAAUGGCGGACGGGAGAGGAAUACAUCGGAACCUACUUUUUCGGGGGGGUUAACGAAGGGAAACUUAAUAUAAUACCGCAUACGCCGUUCGAGGGAAAGCAUUGGAACUUUUGAGCUGUCGCGAUUGAAUGAGCCGCUGUCGGAUUAGCUAGUUGGCGGGUUAAAGGCCCACCAAGGCGACGAUACGUAGCUGGUCUGAGAGGAUGAUCAGCCACACUGGAGCUGAGCCACGGUCCUGGCUCCUACGGGAGGCACCAGUGGGGAAUGUUGGACAGUGGGCGCAAGCAUGAUCCAGCCGUCCCGCGUGGGUGACGACGGCCUUCGGGUUGUGAAGCCCUUUUGUUGGCAAAAAAAAGCAUCAGGUUAAGACCCCGCUGUUCUGACGGUACCGAAAGAAUAAGCACCGGCUAACUUCGUG